rnacentral:lncRNA from 1 species
CAUAUCCAUCUCAGAUUCUAAAAAAACUAACUCCAAGUCCAUCUCAGAUUCUGAAAAGAAAAAAACUCCAUGUAACAGCUUACUUAUUAUCAAUGCAACAGAUUACAUAUAGGUCCUAUACUUCAUAUGAAGUGUACAUCCGAUCUAUAUAUAAUUACAUCAAUGAAACCUAUACUCAUUAACAGUUCACAUACUAUCUAAACUGCGGAAAAAUUAAAUUACUCACAACAGAAGUAUUACAACUCAAAUCAAAACCAAUAGUUAUUUAAUUAAAACAUACAUUCAUACUAACCAUGAGAGUAUG